rnacentral:rRNA from 1 species
GACGAACGCUGGCGGCGUGCUUAACACAUGCAAGUCGAACGGAAAGGCCCUGCUUUUGUGGGGUGCUCGAGUGGCGAACGGGUGAGUAACACGUGAGUAACCUGCCCUUGACUUUGGGAUAACUUCAGGAAACUGGGGCUAAUACCGGAUAGGAGCUCCUGCUGCAUGGUGGGGGUUGGAAAGUUUCGGCGGUUGGGGAUGGACUCGCGGCUUAUCAGCUUGUUGGUGGGGUAGUGGCUUACCAAGGCUUUGACGGGUAGCCGGCCUGAGAGGGUGACCGGCCACAUUGGGACUGAGAGACGGACCAGACUCCUACGGGAGGCAGCAGUGGGGAAUAUUGCACAAUGGGCGGAAGCCUGAUGCAGCAACGCCGCGUGCGGGAUGAUGGCCUUCGGGUUGUAAACCGCUUUCGCCUGUGACGAAGCGUGAGUGACGGUAAUGGGUAAAGAAGCACCGGCUAACUACGUG